UGGGGAAUUUUGGACGAAUUGGGGGCAACCCGUGAUCCAGCAAUGCCGCGUGUGUGAAGAAGGCCUUCGGGUUGUAAAGCACUUUUGUCCGGAAAGAAAACGCCGUGGUUAAUACCCGUGGCGGAUGACGGUACCGGAAGAAUAAGCACCGGCUAACUACGUGCCAGCAGCCGCGGUAAUACGUAGGGUGCAAGCGUUAAUCGGAAUUACUGGGCGUAAAGCGUGCGCAGGCGGUCCGCUAAGACAGAUGUGAAAUCCCCGGGCUUAACCUGGGAACUACAUUUGUGACCGGCGGGCUAGAGUAUGGCAGAGGGGGGUAGAAUUCCACGUGUAGCAGUGAAAUGCGUAGAGAUGUGGAGGAAUACCGAUGGCGAAGGCAGCCCCCUGGGCCAAUACUGACGCUCAUGCACGAAAGCGUGGGGAGCAAAACAGGAUUAGAUACCCUGGUAGUCCACGCCCUAAACGAUGUCAACUAGUUGUUGGGGAUUCAUUUCCUUAGUAACGUAGCUAACGCGUGAAGUUGACCGCCUGGGGAGUACGGCC
rnacentral:rRNA from 1 species